rnacentral:rRNA from 1 species
CGUAGGGUGCGAGCGUUAAUCGGAAUUACUGGGCGUAAAGCGUGCGCAGGCGGUCUUGUAAGACAGAUGUGAAACUCCCCGGGCUCAACCUGGGACCUGCAUUUGUGACUGCAAGGCUAGAGUACGGUAGAGGGGGAUGGAAUUCCGCGUGUAGCAGUGAAAUGCGUAGAUAUGCGGAGGAACACCGAUGGCGAAGGCAAUCCCCUGGACCUGUACUGACGCUCAUGCACGAAAGCGUGGGGAGCAAACAGGAUUAGAUACCCUGGUAGUCCACGCCCUAAACGAUGUCAACUGGUUGUUGGGUCUUUACUGACUCAGUAACGAAGCUAACGCGUGAAGUUGACCGCCUGGGGAGUACGGCCGCAAGGUUG